UACGUAGGGUGCGAGCGUUUAAUCGGAAUUACUGGGCGUAAAGCGUGCGCAGGCGGUGAUGUAAGACAGGUGUGAAAUCCCCGGGCUUAACUUGGGAACUGCAUUUGUGACUGCAUCGCUGGAGUGCGGCAGAGGGGGAUGGAAUUCCGCGUGUAGCAGUGAAAUGCGUAGAUAUCGGGAGGAACACCAGUGGCGAAGGCGAUCACCUGGGGUUGUUCUGACGCUGAGGAGCGAAAAGCUAGGGGAGCAAACGGG
rnacentral:rRNA from 1 species